rfam:Kushneria marisflavi strain SW32, complete genome.
CGAUGGUCCUCUCGCAACGCGAUAUCGCGAACCCCGCCAGGCCCGGAAGGGAGCAACGGUAGUGAUGGAUGCGUGUGCCGGGAUGUGGCUGUCGAGG